UUCGGGACUGAUUAUUUUGUGACUGAGUGGCGGACGGGUGAGUAACGCGUGGGUAACCUGCCUUGUACAGGGGGAUAACAGUUGGAAACGGCUGCUAAUACCGCAUAAGCGCACAGCAUCGCAUGAUGCAGUGUGAAAAACUCCGGUGGUACAGGAUGGACCCGCGUCUGAUUAGCUGGUUGGCAGGGUAACGGCCUACCAAGGCGACGAUCAGUAGCCGGUCUGAGAGGAUGAACGGCCACAUUGGAACUGAGACACGGCCCAAACUCC
rnacentral:rRNA from 1 species